rnacentral:rRNA from 3 species
CCUGCCCAAUGGUUGUAUCUAAAAGCGGUUGAUAAAAGUCGACCGCGUAAGGACAAUUGAAUGGCCGCGGUAACACUGACCGUGAUAAUGUAGCGUAAUCAAUAGCCAAUUAAUUGUUGGCCAGUAUGAAUGGCGCCACGAAGGCCCCACUGUCUUAAGGAAAUUCCCAGUGAAAUUGAAUUCGUAGUGAAGAUGCUACGUCCAAUUUGUUAGACGAAAAGACCCCGUUGAGCUUUACUGGGGCACUUACACGGCCCCGGCCUUCAAGACUGGGUUGAUAAGCCAAGGCUUACCAUACCUAGGGACCGGCCGAAUUUAAAUGGGUGGCUUAGACUAUGUGGCAGCCCCCCCCGUCGGGGCAGAUGAAACCCCACUCCCCCAUGUCAAAGGGGCUAACCCCCCCCCCUUGGGGGGGGACAAUGUAAGUAGGACAGUUUGGUUGGGGCGACCGCCUUUUAGAAAGUAACGAAGGUGCGCUUAAGGUGCGUAAUUAAUGACUGAAGCCUGACUGCGAGGGGGAUACCCCGAGCAGACACCCCCAAGCCCGCCCGAGAAGGCUUUGCCUUCUGGGCGGCGGUGGGGUGG